AUUGAACGCUGGCGGCAUGCCUAACACAUGCAAGUCGAACGAGACCUUCGGGUCUAGUGGCGCACGGGUGCGUAACGCGUGGGAAUCUGCCCUUGGGUUCGGAAUAACAGCGAGAAAUUGCUGCUAAUACCGGAUGAUGACGUAAGUCCAAAGAUUUAUCGCCCAAGGAUGAGCCCGCGUAGGAUUAGCUAGUUGGUGAGGUAAAGGCUCACCAAGGCGACGAUCCUUAGCUGGUCUGAGAGGAUGAUCAGCCACACUGGGACUGAGACACGGCCCAGACUCCUACGGGAGGCAGCAGUGGGGAAUAUUGGACAAUGGGCGAAAGCCUGAUCCAGCAAUGCCGCGUGAGUGAUGAAGGCCUUAGGGUUGUAAAGCUCUUUUACCCGGGAUGAUAAUGACAGUACCGGGAGAAUAAGCUCCGGCUAACUCCGUGCCAGCAGCCGCGGUAAU
rnacentral:rRNA from 1 species